rnacentral:lncRNA from 1 species
AGCAGAGUGAGCUAGAGGCAAGAGAGUCAGCAGUCUAACGAGUUUAAUUUCAAAGGGAGGAAAAUGGCUUACAGGCAAGGAGGGAGAAUAGACACAAGUGCCAGGGUUCCCCCCCCCCCCCAGUGGGGGAGACCCCUUUAGUAGGGCUGGUCCUUAAUUUGCGGCUUGACAAAGAGUCAACCAGUGCAGUGUAGCCGCAGGAGCAACAGUGAGGCACGGUUAUCUGGUGACAAAAGUCCACAGCAGGGCUUCCUGUCUGGGCCUGUUGGUGUUUGCCCAAGCUCAGAGAUCGUCAGUGCCAGAAAGUGAGUGUGUGGGGCAGCUAGGUGACGCAGUGGAUAGAGCACCAGCCCUGGAGUCAGGAGGACUCGAGUUCCAAUCCAGCUUCAGAUACAUACCACUCACUAGCUGUGUGACUCUGGGCAAGUCACUUCACCCCGAUUGCUUCACCAAAAAACAAAAAACAGAAGGUGAGCACAAAGGAUUGUUGUUAUGGCAAGCUCAGGACACAGCCUGCUUGCUGGGCCAUAGCUCUGGAAAGCAGAGUGUCUCCUAACAGUACCUUGACAUCUUCAAUGUCAGAUUUAAAUGACAUCUGAGGACCUUUUCAGCUUCCAUUUCUGUAGUUUUUACACAACAUUUUUACUGUUAUCUUAUUUUGAUACAAAUAGAAAUUGAUUUGAAGACCAUAUGAAAAUACCUGCACUGACUCAGGGUAAAUAUAAUUAAAAAUAGCCUCCUUGUUCAGGCCUUAAUACCUCCUACCCACCUAUUAGAUAAUUGUCUCCUCCUGGUUUUUGUGAGAAAUGUUUGGAAAUUGGUUUUUGCGUUAACUUAACUGUUUCUCCCCACAGGUUUGGGCCCAUUUACACUUGCACAAGAUGCCUGUCUGCACUGGUGGGGUUUGCAGUUCAGAGGAGAAUUUUCCACUGUACCUGCACGUUGUGGAGCAGGUGGGAGACGCUGCCUCCUCGUGCGGGCCUCGAGAGGACCAGUGACCCGCCUGUCGUCCGUCACCCAGAAUCAAGGGCUCUUUUCACCACAACCACCUUUCGGAGCUCGGCGGUGCUGCCUGUGGUCGUCUCCGAGGCGUGCCCGCUUGAUAGCUGUUCAGCCAAUAAUUUGUUCCGCCAAAGCACCUCGUUGAGACCACUUUUGGUGUUGGGAUUAGUUUGAGAAAUUAGCCAAGUAGGCAAGUCUAAUUUAAAUGUUCAGAUCAGAUGAAGCUUAAGAAAUAAACACGAUGGAAAUACUUGUUCUGUUAUUUUU